UACGGGGGGGGGCAAGCGUUUGUUCGGAAUUACUGGGCGUAAAGGGCUCGUAGGCGGCCAACUAAGUCAGACGUGAAAUCCCUCGGCUUAACCGGGGAACUGCAUCUGAUACUGGAUGGCUUGAGUUCGGGAGAGGGAUGCGGAAUUCCAGGUGUAGCGGUGAAAUGCGUAGAUAUCUGGAGGAACACCGGUGGCGAAGGCGGCAUCCUGGACCGACACUGACGCUGAGGAGCGAAAGCCAGGGGAGCGAACGGG
rnacentral:rRNA from 1 species